rnacentral:rRNA from 1 species
GACGAACGCUGGCGGCGUGCUUAACACAUGCAAGUCGAAGAUAGUGGCGAACGGGCGAGUAAUACUUGGUUAACCAGCCCUCCUUUUUGGGAUAAGCCGUGGAAAAGGGGUUUAAUACCGAAUAAAGGGGGUUGGGCUGGGGGCCUAUCAGCGUGUUGGUGGGGUGAUGGCUUAACAAGGCGGUGACGGUUAGCCGGGCUGAGAGGGUGACCGGCCACAUUGGGACUGAGUUACGGCCCAGACUCCUACGGGAGGGGGCAGUGGGGGUUAAUGGAAAAUGGGCGGAUACCUGGGGCAGGUACGCCGCGUGGGGGAUGAAGGCUUUGGAGUUGUAAUCCUCUUGCGCUAUCGAACGGGUAGGUGUUGAAGAAGCGCCGGCUAACUACGUGCCAGCAGCCGCGGUAAUAC